rnacentral:lncRNA from 1 species
AAUAAUUCACCUUUUUUCCCGAGCUACAUUUAUCUGGUAUUCAGAUCCUGACUGUCACAGGUACAGAUGAAUUCAACACACCCGGAGGGCUCUUGUUGGAAACCUGAAGAAUUUCCAUGAAAUCUCCAAAAGUCAAAAGAUGCCAUUAUUACAACACUCUAGAGAUGACUCUGAGGUUGAAGAGAUGCGGGGGAGCAACAAAAUGGAAGACGUCUGGAUCCUUGCAUCGUCACAUGCAGGAAAGCAACACGCUGCCAUGGAAUGCCAUGGACUGUGACAUGAGCAAACAAUAAAUAUCUGUUGUGUUAA